CUCUUAUCUCAUUUCAGUCCUUCGCUCACGGUAGUAGAAACCCUUGUCUCUCCCUCAUUGCUCAUCUUACUCCUUCGGCAACGAAAAGCCUUCUUGAUCGGUGAUCAUGGUGAAAUCAAGAGGAUGACACUCCAAAUCACCAAAACAAGGAGGAAGAAGCACAGACCCUAAUCGGAGCUCUUUGCAAUUUUGAACACGAGCAACCCAUCCAUUUCUAUGACGGUCGAGAACCUCGCGGCAUGGAGUAAUCUGGUCAAUCAAAGGCAACCCAAAGUCAAGCACUUUCCCAAUUGUAUUCUUGGAACUCCUUGGGUCAAAAUCAAGAUGAGAAUCAUAACCCCAUGACUCGGAAGAAUACUCGCUCUCGAGUCGUCAAAACACAAUGGGUCAUCCUCGAAAAAAUAUUUGACGACAUCUGCGACAUUAAAGGUCUUUGAAAUUCUCCAAUUGCCCGAGAGGUAAAUAACAUACAUGUUAUCAUUGAUAUUAUUGAUAAUCUUGAAGGAGAUAAACUUCUUUGGACUUAGCUUCUAAAAAUUACUUAUUGGAAUUCUUGUUUUAUGAAUAAAAAACAUCAACUGGUCACCCACUUAGAAAGCCAA